rnacentral:lncRNA from 1 species
AGUUCAGCACGGCUGGGCUCAGCUACGCUUGGUGUCAACCUAAAGGCUGCUCCAGCUUGAACAAACUAAUGGAGCCUAAGGAGGGAACCGUGGGGAGCCUGCUGAUGGGCAGUUGGUCAGCGCCUACAUAAAACAGCCUGCAGCUUUCACUGUCGUCAAAUGUGGGAGAACUGAGCCCCCAACCGGGGGGUCCGACUGCACCUCCAAGUAGCUAGAGUUGGAAUUGAGCUGGAUGAAAGGAUACCUUACCCAGUGGGUGGUGCGGCUGUGAGCUGGCAGUUACGGAGUGAUCUCUGUACCUUUUAGGGUCAUAGAAAUGUUGGCUAUCCUGUGAAAGCUGGCACAACAGUUGCCUUGUUUCUCUCCUGAGAAUGUAGAUUAAAACCCUAUUUUUCACUGU